GACGAACGCUGGCGGCGUGCUUAACACAUGCAAGUCGAACGGAAAGGCCCUGCUUGUGUGGGGUGCUCGAGUGGCGAACGGGUGAGUAACACGUGAGUAACCUGCCCUUGACUUUGGGAUAACUUCAGGAAACUGGGGCUAAUACCGGAUAGGAGCUCCUGCUGCAUGGUGGGGGUUGGAAAGUUUCGGCGGUUUGGGAUGGACUCGCGGCUUAUCAGCUUGUUGGUGGGGUAGUGGCUUACCAAGGCUUUGACGGGUAGCCGGCCUGAGAGGGUGACCGGCGACAUUGGGACUGAGAUACGGCCCAGACUCCUACGGGAGGCAGCAGUGGGGAAUAUUGCACAAUGGGCGGAAGCCUGAUGCAGCAACGCCGCGUGCGGGAUGACGGCCUUCGGGUUGUAAACCGCUUUCGCCUGUGACGAAGCGUGAGUGACGGUAAUGGGUAAAGAAGCACCGGCUAACUACGUG
rnacentral:rRNA from 1 species